ACACAACAACCAUGUAGAUUGCUGUC
rnacentral:piRNA from 1 species